UGCGGGGACAGCAAGGGUCCAUCUCCAGGGAUUGAUGUGAAGUCCUGGCUGCUCAGUAAAAAGACUCAGCCAUGCUGAUUCUGAGGAUUGUGCCCUUUGCUCUGUUCUACCCUGCAGAGCACAAAUGUUUGUCUCUUUUGCACUGAGUAGUGCUGAGCUGUGAAAGGAGCUUUUGGAAAUGACAAUGUGGAAAAUAUGUUACCUUCGUGGGCUUGGAUUUGUGUAACCAGCAGUGGUGGGAGAGCAGCUCCAUCCCAGAGCCCUGGAAGCUGGAGGAGGGAGCACUGCUGUCCUGGGUUAAGAUCCAAGCAGGCACACAGCAGUGGAUCAACACAGGCCAAGUUCCCUCAGGACUGCACCCUCAUGUAGUAAUUAAAAAGCAAUCAGUGGAAGAGAAUGUUUGAGUUCCAUUGGGCACAAACCCUUUUUAGCCAUGG